AGGGAGCACUUCCCCUGAGCGGUCUGCUCAGCUCCCUCGCGCGCUGCCCGCAGAGUGAGGCUGGGAGCCUGAAGAUGAUGUCAUAUUCCGGCUCCCAGCCUCACUCUGCGGCGCGCUUGGGAGCUGAAAAGACCGCUCAGGGGAAGUGCUCCCU